ACCAGAUAGCAGAGGGAGACACUCCAAACAAGCUGACUUCAUGCAAUUUAAGGAACUAUGAAUCUGUCUUGAAGAAGGCCUCAGGAUAGGCCGAAACGUCAACACUGUAUUAAUGUAAUCAGCAAUAUAAAUAAAAGUUACUUAUUAAAUCAA